UACGGGGGGGGCAAGCGUUGUUCGGAAUUACUGGGCGUAAAGGGCUCGUAGGUGGUCAACUAAGUCGGACGUGAAAUCCCUCGGCUUAACCGGGGAACUGCGUCCGAUACUGGAUGACUUGAGUUCGGGAGAGGGAUGCGGAAUUCCAGGUGUAGCGGUGAAAUGCGUAGAUAUCUGGAGGAACACCGGUGGCGAAGGCGGCAUCCUGGACCGAGAUUGACGCUGAGGCGCGAAAGCCAGGGGAGCAAACGGG
rnacentral:rRNA from 1 species